UUAUGUAAUAUGUCAAAUAUUUGAAUUCAUUAUCAUAAUAACUUAAUAUUUCUUUUUUGUCGGCCAUUUUUCAUUAUAAAGCCCAAAGACAAUUACAGAAGGAUUAGUUUAGUAGAUACAAGCAAGUAAAACGGCCCAUUUAAUCAUAAUUGAACACGUAAAUGUUAGGCCCAACUAUAAUUAACUUAGAAACAACAAGUGUACAAGACGUGUCUACGCUUGACUUUGUGUCGUGAAUGUGAGCACCGCCGUCAAUGAGUCGCCAAACAUCACCGAGAGUACGAUCAGCCGCUGCCAACCAUCCAUAGAGCGAUGUGUAUCCGCUUUCCUUCUACCGAUCUCUAACCGGAUUGAGAAGUAGCACAGCUUCAAAAGUUUUUCUGAAAUCGCCAAUUCUGAGGAGGCUCCACCACCGACUACAUCCACCUUGAUGUAAAUCUAAAUCCAAUUAUGUUCUUAUCUUGAGCAAUUGGAGGUGAUGAAGAUGUUAAUUCCUCAAGCAAUUGGAGAGACAGAGAAGCUUUGAAGAGAAUCAGUGAAAACAAUGAAGCGCCAAGGAAUUGAGAUCGAAACCUCGCUAAAGCGAGUUAGAUCCGGAUAUUAUCGGUAACAAAAGUCUAAUGAUAUACGUCAGAAUAAUAACUUAAUAUAUAAACACAAUCAAAUGUACUUUUGCAAUACAAAUUUUUUGUUGAAAAAGUUCCCCGGCAACAUCAUGGGGGCUUAUAACCUAGUGUUAAAAUGAGAGAAACACAAUUAUCCUAUUCUUUUUGUUUUCAGUUAAGUGUCAUUUUAGAAUCUAAAUUUUGUUUAAAAUAAUUCUCGAUUUACAUUUUGAAUAUCAUUUUAUGAUAAAAUAUACAUUUUUAUCCCUAGUGAUUUAACGUAUUGACCAAUAAAUUUUUCUGUCAAGUAUAUAUAUAUUUCUGUCAAGCAUAUU
rnacentral:sRNA from 1 species